rnacentral:lncRNA from 1 species
AACUGCGCACAAUAGCGGCCGGCUCCUCUAUCUAUUUUGUGUCCAGCCGGAGCCGCGCGCGAUGAUUCAUUGCCCCAAUUAGGGGCUCUCUCCAGCGCGCCCGGCUCAAGCCGUCUGAAGGGUCUCCUGGGGGACCCGCCGAAACCCAUCAGCGGCUGGAGCUGGUCUUUAAGUAAAGGUCAAGCAGGACGCGGGAGGAGCCAGGGUGAGGCUCUGCAUGGUGAGGAAGCCCAUCAGUGGACACGCUUGGACCCAAGACCUGUGUGUGCAUCCUGGGACUGCCACCCACAUGCUGCAAGACCCAGGGCAAGGGUCUUCACCUCUCUGAGCCUCAGUUUCCCUCAUCUAUGAGGCCCGGAAUGCCACUUCUGAAUACUCUGUCCCAUAUUUUUGCCUUUCCUGGAAUUUCCUGCCGGCGGAGUCACACAGUCACAGCUCACGGUUGCAGUCCCAUGCCUGGCUUCCUUCAUCAGCAUCUUGUUUUUGAGACUCUUCCAAGCUGCUGCGUGCAUGGGUCAUUCUUUCCUCAUCCCACUCCAGGAUGACACCACGGUGUGUUUCCCCAGCUCGUGUGGAUGGAUAUUUGGAUCGUUGCCAGCUCAAAGUUAUUCUGGAGAAAGAUGCUGUGAACAUUUGUGCACAGGUCUUUGGACGUGUGUUCUCAUUUCUCCUGGAUAAAUACCUAAAAGUGGAACUGCUGGGUGACACGGCAGGUGUUGACCCUGAGUGGAGCUGGUUUAGCCUCAGUUUACCUUAUUUAUUUAUUUAUUUAAAGACAGAGUCUCACGCGGUCACCCAGGCUGGAGUGCAGUGGCGCGAUCUCAGCUCACUGCAACCUUCGCCUCCCAGGUUCAAGUGAUUCUCAUGCCUGAGCCUCCUGAGCAGCUGGGAUCACAGGCUCCCACCACCACGCCAAGCUGAUUUUUUGUAUUUUUAGUAGAGACAGGUUUUCGCCGUGUUGGCCAGGCUGGUCUCGAACUCCCGACCUCAGGCAAUCCACCCGCCUCGGCCUCCCAAAGUGCUAGGAUUGCAGGCGUGAGGCACCGUGCCCGGCCAGUUUCCUUAUCUUUAUAAUGGGAAUUAAAAAGUUGGCAUGCAUCAGCAGGUGAACAGAUAAACAAAACAUGAUGUGUCCACACCAUGGAGCAUUAUUUGGCCAUGAAAAGGAAUGAUGGCCCUUGACAACAUAUGCCAGGAGACAGAAGCCAGACACGAGGCCACACACUGAUCCCAUUGACAUGAAAUACCCAGAACAGGCAAUCCACAGAGACAGAAAGCAGUUUAGUGGCUGUUUAGGGCUGGGGGCCAAGGGGAUGGGGAACCACUGCUCGUGGAGACAGGGUUUUCCUUUUGGAGUGAUGAGCAUGUUGUGAGAUGAGAUACAGGUGGUGGCUGCACAACCUCAUGGCUGCACUGAACGCCACUAAAUUGUACCCUUUAAAAUGGUUAAAGUGGGCUGGGCAUGGCGGCUCACGCCUGUAAUCCCAGCACCUUAAGAGGCCAAGGCAGGCAGAUCAUGAGGUCAGGAGAUCAAGACCAUCUGGCCAACAUGUUGAAACCCUGUCUCUACUAAAAAUACAAAAAUUAGCUGGGUGUGGUGGAACACGCCUGCAGUCCCAGCUACCCGGGAGGCUGAGGCAGGAGAACUGCUUGAACCCGGGAGUCCGAGGUUGCAGUGAGCCUAGAUCGUACUACUGCACUCCAGCCUGGCAGGAGAGCGAGACUCUGUCUCAAAAAAAUAUGUAAAUAAAAUAAAAUGGUUAAGGUGGUGAA